rnacentral:rRNA from 1 species
AUUGAACGCUGGCGGCAUGCCUUACACAUGCAAGUCGAACGGCAGCGCGGGAGCAAUCCUGGCGGCGAGUGGCGAACGGGUGAGUAAUAUAUCGGAACGUGCCCAGUAGCGGGGGAUAACGCAGCGAAAGUUGUGCUAAUACCGCAUACGCACUACGGUGGAAAGAGGGGGAUCGCAAGACCUCUCACUAUUGGAGCGGCCGAUAUCAGAUUAGCUUGUUGGCGGGGUAAAAGCCCACCAAGGCGACGAUCUGUAGCUGGUUUGAGAGAACGACCAGCCACACUGGGACUGAGACACGGCCCAGACUCCUACGGGAGGCAGCAGUGGGGAAUUUUGGACAAUGGGCGCAAGCCUGAUCCAGCCAUGCCGCGUGCGGGAAGAAGGCCUUCGGGUUGUAAACCGCUUUUGUUCGGGAAGAAAUUGACUGGGCUAAUACCCCGGUUAGAUGAUGGUACCGGAAGAAUAAGCACCGGCUAACUACGUGCCAGCAGCCGCAGUAAUAC